UAUCAGCCUACGAUUUGUCAACAAGUAGUGUGGUGAGCCUCAAAACCGCUACAUUAUUUGUUUGGCUAAUCGUCGGUGCACUUUCGUGUCGGCUGGUUAACAUCAAUUUCAAAUGUCAUAAAAAGGCUAGAGGGAUGUGGCUCCUUCGGGAGUGUUUAUAACCUUUAGCGGAAUGUGGUGUUUGGGAUUGAGGAUUGCAACGAAUACCUUUAGGGCUGUUCCACCUGGUCUCUCUUUGGCAUCUUGGCGGCGACAGCUUGCUGACGUUGUUAAGAGUUGACAUUGAACAGGCUAGAGUGUGGGCAAAUUCGUUAAGGAUGUUAACGUA
rnacentral:rRNA from 1 species